CCUACGGGAGGCAGCAGUGAGGAAUAUUGGUCAAUGGCCGAGAGGCUGAACCAGCCAAGUCGCGUGAGGGAAGACGGCCCUACGGGUUGUAAACCUCUUUUGUCGGGGAGCAAAGCGAGUCACGUGUGAACCAUUGAGAGUACCCGAAGAAAAAGCAUCGGCUAACUCCGUGCCAGCAGCCGCGGUAAUACGGAGGAUGCGAGCGUUAUCCGGUUUUAUUGGGGUUAAAGGGUGCGCAGGGGGAGGUGCAAGUCAGCGGUAAAAUUGCGGGGCUCAACCCCGUACUGCCGUUGAAACUGCAUCCCUUGAGUGCGCGAGAAGUAUGCGGAAUGCGUGGUGUAGCGGUGAAAUGCAUAGAUAUCACGCAGAACUCCGAUUGCGAAGGCAGCAUACCGGCGCGCAACUGACGCUGAUGCACGAAAGCGUGGGUAUCGAACAGGAUUAGAUACCCGAGUAGUC
rnacentral:rRNA from 1 species